AUUGAACGCUGGCGGCAGGCCUAACACAUGCAAGUCGAGCGGAUGAAGGGAGCUUGCUCCUGGAUUCAGCGGCGGACGGGUGAGUAAUGCCUAGGAAUCUGCCUGGUAGUGGUGGAUAACGUCCGGAAACGGGCGCUAAUACCGCAUACGUCCUGAGGGAGAAAGUUGGGGAUCUUCGGACCUCACGCUAUCAGAUGAUCCUAGGUCGGAUUUGCUAGUUGGUGGGGUAAAGGCCUACCAAGGCGACGAUCCGUAACUGGUCUGAGAGGAUGAUCAGUCAAACUGGAAGGGAGACACGGACCAGACUCCUACGGGAGGCAGCAGUGGGGAAUAUUGGACAAGGGGCGAAAGCAUGAUACAGCAAUGCCGCGUGUGUGAAGAAGGUCUUCGGAUUGUAAAGCACUUUAAGUUGGGAGGAAGGGCAGUAAGUUAAUACCUUGAUGUUUUGACGUUACCAACAGAAUAAGCACCGGCUAACUUCGUG
rnacentral:rRNA from 1 species